rnacentral:rRNA from 1 species
UCCUACGGGAGGCAGCAGUGGGGAAUAUUGCACAAUGGGGGAAACCCUGAUGCAGCCAUGCCGCGUGUGUGAAGAAGGCCUUCGGGUUGUAAAGCACUUUCAGUUGUGAGGAAAAGUUAGUAGUUAAUACCUGCUAGCCGUGACGUUAACAACAGAAGAAGCACCGGCUAACUCCGUGCCAGCAGCCGCGGUAAUACGGAGGGUGCGAGCGUUAAUCGGAAUUACUGGGCGUAAAGCGCACGCAGGCGGUUUGUUAAGCUAGAUGUGAAAGCCCCGGGUUCAACCUGGGAUGGUCAUUUAGAACUGGCAGACUAGAGUCUUGGAGAGGGGAGUGGAAUUCCAGGUGUAGCGGUGAAAUGCGUAGAUAUCUGGAGGAACAUCAGUGGCGAAGGCGACUCCCUGGCCAAAGACUGACGCUCAUGUGCGAAAGUGUGGGUAGCGAACAAGGAUUAGAUACCCUGGUAGUCCACACCGUAAACGCUGUCUACGUGCUGUGUGUGUCUUUUAGGCGUGCAUA